AAAUGUUGAUCUAGACAAGUCUGAACAAAAAUUUCAUCACAGCUAGAAAGAGCAUCACAAAAUUAGUCAGGCCCGGUUUAGACGGCGAACUUUUCAUGCACCGAAUCUAAUGCAAGGAUUAAGUGCGACGCUGGAGCGGCGUCUAAAUCAAUUAAGUUCGGCAGGUUUUGAUUAAGUUCGACACGACUCGAAGAUGCGACAGGACAAGUCGUUUACCGUAAACUUCCGAAUAUAAGCCCUGGGCUUAUAUAAUUUCAUAAGCCUUUUUUUGAUGGGCUUAUACAUGGGGGGGGGGGGGUAUAUACGGGGGGCUUAUACACGGACCACAUCUUAGGUUAAUAGUAAGAAAACACGUACUAUAUUUACGGACCGAAACUGCACAAAAAAUAUGCCCGUGACUCCUUGAGGCAAAAUUGGGACGAACUGUCAAGUGUUUUGUAAUCCUUUAUAACCUUUGUUUAAAUAAAUACAUACCGUAGACGUAGUCUUAGUUGAAAUUUAAUGCAAUGUAGUGGAUUUUUUUGUGUAAUUUACCGGUAUUAUACUGUGAUGGGCUUAUAUACGGGUGGGCUUAUGUAGGGGUGGGCUUAUAUUCGGGGGGGGGGCUUAUAUACGGAAUGGUGUGAACGUUAGUAAUUUGAUGGGCUUAUAGACGGGGGGGGGGGCUUAUAUUCGGAAGUUUACGGU